AUGACCAUAAACAAAGCCCAGGGGCAAACCAUCCCAACUGUUGGCAUUUACCUUCCGGAGCAUGUAUUCUCGCACGGCCAUCUCUAUGUUGCACUAUCAAGGGGUGUUUCAAGGCAGACAACUCAGGUUCUGGCAAAGCCAAAUAAAUAA
rnacentral:rRNA from 1 species